GGGGUUAUAGUUAAAUUAUAACAUUUAAUUUGCAAUUAAAAAUUAUUCAAUAGAAUUAUCCUCA
rnacentral:tRNA from 1 species